AAAGUGAAGUAUUCUGAUAAAUGAGCAUUUCUUCGAAAUCCCCAAGAUUUCCUGUCGAUCGUCAUACAGUUUUCCCACUUGUGGGGUAGAAGCACUCCUGAAAAUUGAAGAUUGAAGAUGAAUAAACUAAGGCUUUCAUUAUACAACCAAGCUAAAAAUUCCUUUGACUGCCAAUAAGUAUCUGAUGCUUCCCAAUCUCCAUCUGACCAUAUAAUCUCUGGCUCGUAUUUCUCUACUAAUUCUUGCAAUUCAGGCAAUAUCUUUUGUUUAACAAACACUUGUGUCGUGAAUUUGUUGUUUUUGUCGUAUAAAUAAAGGGGAUUGUACCAUUCGUACAUGGAAUGAUACAGACCAAAUUUCAAACUCGUCGAUUCCUUUAUUGCUGCGGCCAAUUCACCUAACAACAAAAAUAUAUAAUAAAUUCCAGAUCAUAGUAAUUGAAGAGACAAAAAUGUAUAGCUUGAUUGAUUCUAUCCACAAUUUAUGUUAAUAAAAAUUCAUGAAGUUUCAAA